rnacentral:misc_RNA from 1 species
GAUGAAGAACGCAGCGAAAUGCGAUAAGUAGUGUGAAUUGCAGAAUUCAGUGAAUCAUCGAAUCUUUGAACGCACAUUGCGCCCCUUGGUAUCCCGAGGGGCAUGCCUGUUCGAGCGUCAUUUCACCACUCAAGCCUGGCUUGGUGUUGGGCGACGUCCCCUUUGGGGACGCGCCUCGAAACGCUCGGCGGCGUGGCACCGGCUUUAAGCGUAGCAGAAUCUUUCGCUUUAGAAGUCGGGGCCCCGUCUGCCGGAAGACCUACUCGCAAGGUUGACCUCGGAUCAGGCAGGGAUACCCGCUGAACUUAAGCAUAUCAAUAAGCGGAGGA